rnacentral:rRNA from 1 species
UACGUAGGGUGCAAGCGUUAUCCGGAAUUAUUGGCGUAAAGAGCUCGUAGGCGGUUUGUCGCGUCUGCUGUGAAAACCCGAGGCUCAACCUCGGGCCUGCAGUGGGUACGGGCAGACUAGAGUGCGGUAGGGGAGAUUGGAAUUCCUGGUGUAGCGGUGGAAUGCGCAGAUAUCAGGAGGAACACCGAUGGCGAAGGCAGAUCUCUGGGCCGUAACUGACGCUGAGGAGCGAAAGCGUGGGGAGCGAACAGG